GUGAAUCAUCGAAUCUUUGAACGCAAAUUGCACUCUCUGGCAUUACGGAGCGUAUGCCUGUUUGAGGGUCAGUUUAAAUAAAAAUCGAGGUGUUGCUGUUUUGUGACGCAUCGGAAUUGGGUUAUUUUUGACCUUUUAAUAAGUCUACGUGACCUAAAAUUGAUACUUUGUGCAUCUCAGCCGUAC
rnacentral:misc_RNA from 1 species